UCCAUCACUACAGUGGCAAUAAUAUUGAAUUGGGCACAGCAUGUGGGAAAUACUACAGAGUAUGCACGCUGGCUAUCAUUGAUCCAGGUGAUUCUGAUAUCAUUCGAAGCAUGCCAGAACAGACUGGUGAAAAGUAAAUCACGCAAAAUUUUUCUUUAAUAAAACUGGCCACAGCUUGUU